UACGUAGGGGGCGAGCGUUGUCCGGAUUUAUUGGGCAUAAAGAGCGUGUAGGCGGCCAGGUAGGUCUGCUGUGAAAACUCGAGGCUCAACCUCGAGACGUCGGCGGAAACCAUCUGGCUAGAGUCCGGAAGAGGAGAGUGGAAUUCCUGGUGUAGCGGUGAAAUGCGCAGAUAUCAGGAAGAACACCCGUGGCGAAGGCGGCUCUCUGGGACGGUACUGACGCUGAGACGCGAAAGCGUGGGGAGCGAACAGG
rnacentral:rRNA from 1 species